rnacentral:lncRNA from 1 species
GUCCUUGUGUCCUGUAAACUUCUCUCCACAUGUUGGCUGGUUCUGAUGGUGUUGACAUGACCUGGGGCCUCCGGGAGCUGGAGGCAAAGCCCCCUGUGCUGGGCCCCGGCUCCGCUGUGCUCCUUGCCCUCCUCUCGUGCUGCCCUGGCUCAGGAAAGUGCAAUAUUCGCACAACGUGUUUCUCUCCCAUUGUGAAUCAGCAAAGUUCCUAACAGGCCUGGCAGGUGACUUGUUUCCUUUACUCAGAUUCAGCUACACAACCCAGGAAAGUGGCUCAGGUUAAGUUCCAGGAUCUAACGUCAGAAUUUAAUGAAUAAUAAGGAAAAUGGAGCUCUUUUUCCCCAGGAAGUUCUCAGUGAUGGGGCCAACUGAGCCAGUCAUUGCCCUGAUGGGGCCGAAAGCUACACUCUCCUGUCACCUCAGACCCCCGCUGGAUGCCAAUCCAUGGAGUGAGUGGACUCAAGAUCGCCCCUUAGCUAAGACAGCUUUUAUGUCUGAUCAUCAGGGAACACAAUUCAGAAGGAGGACUGAGUUCUUGAAGAACGUCACCAUGGGGAGUGUUCAUCUCGGGCUGCAAGAUACACCCUUCCGGUGAAGGGCAGCACAGAUGUAACUUUGAGGAUUUGUCCAGUCACAGCAAUGUUACUUCCAAGUGUAUGUGGCAGGAGUCCUGAGAGAAGCCAGGCUCCACGAUGCACAACAGAGUGUCCAGGGAAUGGGUGAUGAUCUUCCAUGUGCAGAUUCAAUGCCCUGCCACUGCUGGGGCUGCGACUCAUGCACGUCCCACAAAAGGCAGGUGCAGUAUUGACCCACCCGCGCAUAACUUGGAAAGAAAGAGUGAACAGCUUCUCUGUAUACUUGGUCCUUCUACAUUGCUUACUGAUUAUGAAGUUCCCCGCGCGUUCUCUUCAAGAACAGUGAUGCCAGAGUGGACCAUCUGGUGUGUAAGGCUGCAAGGUGGUACCCAGAGCCUGAGGCAAGCUGGUGAGAUGCCUAACACAGAAUUUAAAGCCACACUCUGA